UACGGAGGAGGCAAGCGUUAUCCGGAAUUAUUGGGCGUAAAGCGUCCGCAGGUGGCACUUCAAGUCUGUCGUCAAAGACUGGGGCUUAACCCUGGAAAGGCGGUGGAAACUGAAGCGCUAGAGUGCGGUAGGGGUAGAGGGAAUUCCCGGUGUAGCGGUGAAAUGCGUAGAUAUCAAGAGGAACACCUGAGGCGAAGGCGGGUUGCUAGGCUGACACUGACGCUGAGUGCGCGAAAGCCAGGGGAGCAAACGGG
rnacentral:rRNA from 1 species